rnacentral:rRNA from 1 species
UACGGAGGAUGCGAGCGUUAUCCGGAUUUAUUGGGUUUAAAGGGUGCGUAGGCGGAUCGUUAAGUCAGUGGUCAAAUUGAGGGGCUCAACCCCUUCCCGCCAUUGAAACUGGCGAUCUUGAGUGGAAGAGAAGUAUGCGGAAUGCGUGGUGUAGCGGUGAAAUGCGUAGAUAUUAGGAGGAACACCAGUGGCGAAGGCGGCUUUCUGGACUGAAACUGACGCUGAGGCUCGAAAGCGUGGGGAGCGAACAGG